rnacentral:rRNA from 1 species
CGUAGGGUGCAAGCGUUAAUCGGAAUUACUGGGCGUAAAGCGUGCGCAGGCGGUAAUGUAAGACAGUUGUGAAAUCCCCGGGCUCAACCUGGGAACUGCAUCUGUGACUGCAUUGCUGGAGUACGGUAGAGGGGGAUGGAAUUCCGCGUGUAGCAGUGAAAUGCGUAGAUAUGCGGAGGAACACCGAUGGCGAAGGCAAUCCCCUGGACCUGUACUGACGCUCAUGCACGAAAGCGUGGGGAGCAAACAGGAUUAGAUACCCUGGUAGUCCACGCCCUAAACGAUGUCAACUGGUUGUUGGGUCUUCACUGACUCAGUAACGAAGCUAACGCGUGAAGUUGACCGCCUGGGGAGUACGGCCGCAAGGUUG